UAUAUUAAAUGUAUAGAUUAUUAUUAUCAUAUAAGGAUUUAUAUAUAUAUAUAUAUAUAUAUAUAC
rnacentral:tRNA from 1 species